rnacentral:rRNA from 1 species
AUUGAACGCUGGCGGAAUGCUUUACACAUGCAAGUCGAACGGCAGCACGGGGCAACCUGGUGGCGAGUGGCGAACGGGUGAGUAAUACAUCGGAACGUGCCCAAUCGUGGGGGAUAACGUAGCGAAGUUACGCUAAUACCGCAUACGAUCUACGGAUGAAAGCGGGGGAUCGCAAGACCUCGCGCGAGUGGAGCGGCCGAUGUCAGAUUAGGUAGUUGGUGGGGUAAAGGCUCACCAAGCCAACGAUCUGUAGCUGGUCUGAGAGGACGACCAGCCACACUGGAACUGAGACACGGUCCAGACUCCUACGGGAGGCAGCAGUGGGGAAUUUUGGACAAUGGGCGCAAGCCUGAUCCAGCCAUUCCGCGUGCAGGAUGAAGGCCUUC